CUGUUGUUGACGACCUGCAGUUCAAGCAGAGUCAUAAAUAGCUGCUACUUGGUGUGACCGUGCAGUCACGUGCAAAGAAACUGGACGGUCUUGGUUUCUAGGGAAGUAAUUCACCUUUCAUACUCAAGGUUAAUAUGUCAUUUAUUAACGUUGCAGUUUUGCAGUGGGUGAUAGUGAAGCCGUACAGUGUCGUCAGGACUGCCCUGAGCUGCGUACACCAGAGAGACCAACCGGCCGCUGUACGAGCAGCUCUUCAGGCCAGGACUCAGCUGUUUGUCUGCACCUUAAGGACAAAGGAUUGAAAUGUACAUACUGUAUUCUUGCCAGAGAGGACAGCUUUGAGAUUUGAAGGAGAAGUGAUGGAAACUAUUUAUGUCAAACUGGAGAAGCCAUCUGUCAACUCGAGGAAGCGGCUGAAGACAUCAGACCCCCCUUUAACAUUGUCCUGAUUUCACUCCCCUGAAAAGUCAACUCUUCUUCACCAAACACAACAGACGAUUGUGGAGGUGAAACCAGCACCCAUGAGACUCACACAGGACUCCUUUCACACCUGACCCAGGGGAAUGUGAUAUCCAAACAGCGGCUCAGGUCAGGUGGAACUGAAGAAGACUUUUGGAUGAAAAAGGUGAAAUGUCCUUUCCGACCACGACACGACCACGACAGUUGCAUGUCUUGUCACUGCUUCACAUCAUUGUACCUGGCUUAGCAGCCUGACAAAAUUCUCCGACGCCUCUGACUGGAAUGUAGUUACAGCCCAGACUACCAGCAGCAAUCACAACGUCAAAUGCAUCUGAGACCGAGAGGCAAAGAGUGAGAAAGGGUUAGGAUGGAGUGACGGCUACAGCUCCAAUGAUCACCGGAGGAAUCCCAAAUGUGGGGAUGAGGAAGGCUGCACAGUAACAACGCAGCUUAGCCGUGGCGGAGGACGAGGCGGAAAGCGUUCUCUGGUGGAAGUCCUGAAAUCCCAAAUCC